rnacentral:rRNA from 1 species
GAUGAACGCUAGCUACAGGCUUAACACAUGCAAGUCGAGGGGAAACGGCAUUGAGUGCUUGCACUCUUUGGACGUCGACCGGCGCACGGGUGAGUAACGCGUAUCCAACCUUCCCAUUACUGUGGGAUAACCUGCCGAAAGGCAGACUAAUACCGCAUAGUCUUCGAUGACGGCAUCAGAUUUGAAGUAAAGAUUUAUCGGUAAUGGAUGGGGAUGCGUCUGAUUAGCUUGUUGGCGGGGUAACGGCCCACCAAGGCUACGAUCAGUAGGGGUUCUGAGAGGAAGGUCCCCCACAUUGGAACUGAGACACGGUCCAAACUCCUACGGGAGGCAGCAGUGAGGAAUAUUGGUCAAUGGACGGAAGUCUGAACCAGCCAAGUAGCGUGCAGGAUGACGGCCCUAUGGGUUGUAAACUGCUUUUGUAUGGGGAUAAAGUUAGGGACGUGUCCCUAUUUGCAGGUACCAUACGAAUAAGGACCGGCUAAUUCCGUGCCAGUAGCCGCGGUAAUACGGAAGGUCCAGGCGUUAUCCGGAUUUAUUGGGUUUAAAGGGAGCGUAGGCUGGAGAUUAAGUGUGUUGUGAAAUGUAGACGCUCAACGUCUGAAUUGCAGCGCAUACUGGUUUCCUUGAGUACGCACAACGUUGGCGGAAUUCGUCGUGUAGCGGUGAAAUGCUUAGAUAUGACGAAGAACUCCGAUUGCGAAGGCAGCUGACGGGAGCGCAACUGACGCUUAAGCUCGAAGGUGCGGGUAUCAAACAGG